AAUAAAAGCAAUUAGAUCAUGUGAUAUUUUUUUUUGUUUGGUAUCAGUAAAAAUUGAAGUGAAUCUCACUUCAGUCCAUACCUACUAGUGCAGCUGGUCUAUCCAAAGGAAGCGAGAAUACUCUGAGUGCUCCAACCGCUUUACUGUGGCUGGACUUUUCCUCAGACAGAACAGCUAAAUGUUCAACAGAAGAACUUUUUUUUUUUUUCCCUUUGUUAAUGCUAAACCCUUUUUUAACUCUCAUGGAACUCACUCGACAUGGUGCCACGCUGUAAUCACAGUGAUGUGUUGAAUGAUUAGUUGACAGAUUCAUUACUCCGAGUGUCAGGGUUUGAUUUAAGAUACUGCAGUUGGCAAACUAGGAGCGCAAGUAAGACGUGCGGUGGUUUUCAUUUUCUAGCAGCGACCUCAGCUCCGAGUUAUGGCUUUUAUGUGUGUGUGUGUGUGUGUUCUUCCAUCUGCUAAUUAAACUCCUGUAAUUACUGAUCAAACCUGCUGUAAUGCAUAUGUAAACACGGAACUGCAAGAUCCAGUUUCCAUUCAACGAGACUCGGGGAAAGUUUUAAAGUCUGCUGGAUUUUUUUUUUUUUUUUUUCCUGAGCCAAUGAUGCAACUUUAAACGUUGUAAGGAAAAAAACACAUGAGUUCAUAGCAUAAAGAAGCAUUUAGGAGACUAAUCUACUCAGCAGGAGGCAAAGUAGUAUCAGUGUAAACGGGUAUUGAAUCGGUGAAAUGUUAAUGUCAUUUUACCCUUAGAAUUAUUUUAGAACUAAGUUGACUGGAUGAUAGGUAACCCAGAUUUGAUUUUGACGUCAAGAUUGUCAUCUCUAGUUGUGUAAUGUUACAGAUGAUCAUUGCACCGUUUAUGUCACUAAUCGACCCUAGAACACAACAACAAAAAAAGAAAGAGAGAGAGAGAGAGAGACAAAACCUCCUGGAAAUGACAACAAAUGACUGCAGCAAUAGAACAAAAAAAAAGUCUCUGCAGCUCAGAUUGCAGGGCUCUGCAUCCAUCCGCCAAAACUAACAGAUGCAGUAAUGCGGUUCCAAACCAGAGAACACUGAUGUAUUGUCACUGGUCAUAAAGCAGAUAGGGUGCAGCGCCAUUACGGGUCUAAAAAAAAAAAAAAAAAUCAUCACUGUGACUGAUGAAACAGAGCCCAUUUGAAAUGGCAUACAAAGGCCUAUUGAGAAGCUCUCUCGCUUGCUGAGGUGCAUAUCCAACCUUCAGUAUUUGUGACAAAGCUGAGCUAAUGCGUUGUAAAAUGUUAACUUUUAGCCCUGAACGUUUUGGGAUUGUCCAAAAACGUGAACCCAGAGCAUGCCAAGACGGGAUAAAGAGGAAAAAUACGAUCACAAUAUAAAACGCUAAACCCAAAAUGAGGCCACCUCAGAUGAAGGAGGCUGUAAAAUACAGGAUAUCUCAAAUACAGGAAACAUAAACACAACUCAUUUCCCCCCUUGUUCUUCGUCUCCAUCCAUCCAUCCAUCCAUCCAUCCAUCCAUCCAUCCCCAAAGCUUUGCUCAAUUAGAGACUACAGCCACGCAGAGUUCAAAGUCUGCUCCGUCACAACCUUGAUUAAGUCUGCUUAACCUCACAUUUCCACCGCCUAUAGCUGCUUAACAUUCUGCAGCUGUUUUAUUCGGCUUUGGUCAUUACGGCGUGAAACUUCAAAGCGCCGCGCUCGCUGGUCGUUCUGGAAACGCGUGUCAGUCAAUCACGCGCUCGCAUCUGUCGGGGAGGAGGGGGUCGGUCGCCUCGCGACACGCUGGAAGCAGACAUUUGUAACUGUGUAGCCGUUAGCUUAGUAUGAAAUCACGUCGUGUAAUUGGAAAUAAAAAGAAAUAAAUAAAUAAACUGAGCUAAUCAGCCUGAUUUUUCCCUUUUUGUCUGGAACAUUUUCAACUCAAACUUGACGAAUUUCACAUGUUGUUACUCUGGAAUUCGAUGUAUAAGUUUCCCACACUAAGCUGGACAUGAAAUGCACUUUUUUUUUAUUUUAUUUUUUUGCCGUCUCUUUUUUUUCUAGAGGUCAGCUGAAGGCAUUGGAGUGACCCUGCAGCGUCUGAGGAUCAUCUCCCUGUGAUCUCGCUACGCCCCAGCACCCUCACCCCCUCCUCUUUCCCUCACUCCCAUCUCCGCCUCCCCUAUGGACGUUUAAUCGUCAACUGUUUAUCCCACAUGAGAACUUUUUUCUUCUUCUUCUUCUAAUUUGUCUUUUCUUUUUUCUUCCUCCGUGGGAAGGUUAAAAAGUGACCCUCUCCUCACACUCAAAACGCCUGUUUUUUUUUUUUUUUUUUUUCUUAAUCCACAGAGAGUCUAACGCAUGCGCGUCUCCACGUGCUCUGACACAAUCAUGCAAAGGAGAAGACACACUGCAGAGAAGUCCUGCACGCAGGAUGUCGAAUCAGGUUGUCUUAAAGAAACAAGGACGGAUGCAGGACAGUUCAGUUGAUUGUCGAAGGAAUUGGCCCGACUCGACUAUAAUCAAUACGUUUUAAGAAAAUGGAGCUACGAUCCAGCUGUGCUUCUAUCUCACAAACAUUACUCUGUCUGAUCUUGGAAAGCUAUUAUCUCUCCGACAAAAGACGGAUCUCAGAAACAGAAUGACUCUGUCUUCGAUCUGACUCAGAAUGGAAAGUCUUUACGAGACAAUUUUUGUUGGACGCCAGAAAAGCUUGUGAAAUAUUUGCCUUUAACGAGACGUUUCCUCCUGCCAGAUAUCACCCUGAUCAAUGACGCUUCUGCUCCAAGAGAAACGACAAUACCUGGAGCCACGCAGAUCCUCCCGAAUUGCUGCUGAAGAAGACGGUCGCACCUUCCUGAUUCUGGUCCUGCUGGUUCCUUCCUGUUGAAAGAUAACUUUCCCUUUUUCACAGAUUAAAAUAAUUGACUAACUGUCGUGAUCACCUGAUCACAUUUGUUUUUACAGUGUUAAAUCAGAAAUAUUUAGUUAAAGGUGGAAUGCAUUUGUUUAGAUUUCAACUGAAAUGACAUCAGAAAAAAUUGUAUUUAAUGUAUCGUGAUUUGGAUGGGUUCAGCUUUUAUGUAUUAAAAGUUCACUUGGAUGACUUUAUGUAGUUUAGGGCCUGUACUCAAUUUAUAUAUGUAUAUAAAACUUGUUAGAAUGCCUCAAAUCUGUACCAAAAGAUUUUGUAGUAUUACGUCUUAUUUUUUCAUUACUUAUUUGACUUUAAUAUAUGUUACCUAAUUAUUUUCUAAUAAAACACAUUUUCUGUG